CUUUGGGUCCCCUCUUCCUGCUCUGCUCAGAUCAGCAAGAUCAGGUUUUACAGCUGAGGACACUUCACAACAUGCUAAACUUACUGCUGGCAUCUACACGACCAAGAGAAAAUGCUGCAGUAGGAGGGUCUUCCCCUGUGGCAUCACCAAAAGGGGAUUGGAAAAGGCAUUGAGAAACUGGAAAAAAUGACAUAUAAUAUGUAUAUCCAGACUGGUAAGGAUGUUUUCCUUUUGUUUUUCCAUAAGAAAACAAAUUUCAGACCAAUGAAAAAACCU
rnacentral:lncRNA from 1 species